CAAGUUCUGUGAUGUUUUGCACUGGGCUCUGAGUAACUAUGGCGAUGAAUGUGCACUCUGGCUUUGACAGGCCAGAGUCUGAGAAUAAU
ensembl:snoRNA small nucleolar RNA SNORD88